rnacentral:rRNA from 1 species
CCUACGGGUGGCAGCAGUAGGGAAUUUUUCACAAUGGGCGAAAGCCUGAUGGAGCAACGCCGCGUGCAGGAUGAAGGCCUUCGGGUUGUAAACUGCUUUUAUAAGCGAGAAAUAUGAUGGUAACUUAUGAAUAAGGAUCGGCUAACUACGUGCCAGCAGCCGCGGUCAUACGUAGGAUCCGAGCAUUAUCCGGAGUGACUGGGUGUAAAGAGUUGCGUAGGUGGCAUAAUAAGUAGCUAGUGAAAUCUGGUGGCUCAACCAUUCAGACUAUUAGCUAAACUGUUAAGCUCGAGACCGUUAGGGGUAACUGGAAUGUCUAGUGUAGGAGUGAAAUCCGUAGAUAUGAGAAGGAACACCAAUAGCGUAGGCAGGUUGCUGGGACGGUUCUGACACUAAGGCACGAAAGCGUAGGGAGCAAACGGGAUUAGAUACCCUAGUAGUC